rnacentral:rRNA from 1 species
GGGGAAUUUUCCGCAAUGGGCGAAAGCCUGACGGAGCAAUACCGCGUGAGGGAGGAAGGCUCUUGGGUUGUARACCUCUUUUCUCAGGGAAGAACAAAAUGACGGUACCUGAGGAAUAAGCAUCGGCUAACUCCGUGCCAGCAGCCGCGGUAAUACGGAGGAUGCAAGCGUUAUCCGGAAUUAUUGGGCGUAAAGCGUCCGCAGGUGGCAAUUCAAGUCUGCUGUUAAAGGUUCUGGCUCAACCAGAAACAGGCAGUGGAAACUGAAUAGCUAGAGUGCGGUAGGGGCAGAGGGAAUUCCCAGUGUAGCGGUGAAAUGCGUAGAGAUUGGGAAGAACACCGGUGGCGAAAGCGCUCUGCUAGGCCGUAACUGACACUCAUGGACGAAAGCUAGGGGAGCGAAUGGGAUUAGAUACCCCAGUAGUCCUAGCCGUAAACGAUGGAUACUAGGCGUUGCUCGCAUCGACCCGAGCAGUGCCGUAGCUAACGCGUUAAGUAUCCCGCCUGGGGAGUACGCGCGCAAGCGUGAAACUCAAAGGAAUUGACGGGGGCCCGCACAAGCGGUGGAGUAUGUGGUUUAAUUCGAUGCAACGCGAAGAACCUUACCAGGACUUGACAUGUCGCGAAUCUUUGGGAAACUAAAGAGUGCCUUCGGGAGCGCGAACACAGGUGGUGCAUGGCUGUCGUCAGCUCGUGUCGUGAGAUGUUGGGUUAAGUCCCGCAACGAGCGCAACCCUCGUUCUUAGUUGCCAGCAUUAAGUUGGGCACUCUAGGGAGACUGCCGGUGAUAAACCGGAGGAAGGUGGGGAUGACGUCAAGUCAGCAUGCCCCUUACGUCCUGGGCUACACACGUACUACAAUGCUACGGACAAAGGGCCGCAAGCUAGCGAUAGCAAGCAAAUCCCAUAAACCGUGGCUCAGUUCAGAUUGCAGGCUGCAACUCGCCUGCAUGAAGGCGGAAUCGCUAGUAAUCCCAGAUCAGCACGCUGGGGUGAAUACGUUCCCGGGCCUUGUACACACCGCCCGUCACACCAUGGAAGUUGGCCACGCCCGAAGUCGUUACCCUAACCGCAAGGAGGGGGAUGCCGAAGGCAGGGCUGAUGACUGGGGUGAAGUCGUAACAAGGUAGCCGUACCGGAAGGUGUGGCUGGAUCACCUCCUU